rnacentral:rRNA from 1 species
GAUGAACGCUGGCGGCGUGCCUAAUACAUGCAAGUCGAGCGAACAGAUGAGGAGCUUGCUCCUCUGACGUUAGCGGCGGACGGGUGAGUAACACGUGGAUAACCUACCUAUAAGACUGGGAUAACUUCGGGAAACCGGAGCUAAUACCGGAUAAUAUAUUGAACCGCAUGGUUCAAUAGUGAAAGACGGUUUUGCUGUCACUUAUAGAUGGAUCCGCGCCGCAUUAGCUAGUUGGUAAGGUAACGGCUUACCAAGGCAACGAUGCGUAGCCGACCUGAGUGGGUGAUCGGCCACACUGGAACUGAGACACGGUCCAGACUCCUACGGGAGGCAGCAGUAGGGAAUCUUCCGCAAUGGGCGAAAGCCUGACGGAGCAACGCCGCGUGAGUGAUGAAGGUCUUCGGAUCGUAAAACUCUGUUAUUAGGGAAGAACAAAUGUGUAAGUAACUAUGCACGUCUUGACGGUACCUAAUCAGAAAGCCACGGCUAACUACGUG